UUAUUGCAAAGCCCAUCGGUGGGGGUGUAUUGCCAGGGAUAGGAGGUGCAAGAAUGAAUUGCUUGGACCGAAGGCUUAACUCUAGAAACCCUUAUGUAUGACGAAACUGGGUUCGCUGUGAGAAACCAUGGCCAUGUGCGUAACCUGAAAAACUUAGCUCAACAAAUUCUCCCUCAAUCUUGCGCAACCCUUAACCUGGCUUCUGAUUAUCCCGUACAAACAACCGCGUAACCAACAGAAAAAGGAGAAUACAAAACUCACCUCGGCAGUAUGAUUUUCUGUUCUUGGUGGAUCGGGAUGAAGAGAGCUUUGCUUGGAUCCCGUGUGCGGGCGCAACAUUGUGGUUGAUAGCGGAUGGAUCGCCGCGCGGUUCUUCGUCUUGGCAGAGUAGUGUUAUGAUGACGAAUAGGUGGCGUUUGUUGAUUGAUAAUGAAGAGAACAUAUCGAUUAUCGAUGCGUGAUGAAAUUGCGUUGAAGGAUGAAUUUAGACUCGAAUCAUUGUGUGGCAAUAAUGAUUGAAAGUGGAAUUGCGCAACAGAUUGGAGAUGAAGCCUUCUCCAAGGUCGGUUACUCGGUGUUGUCGUUUUGAUUUACUUGGAUUGCAUUUGUCGUUGGAGUUGGCUUGUAUGCAGCUGGCUUGCGCGUUUCUGCCACCGUGUUGCCUUUGUCAUUUCGAUUGAUGUCGUCGUGUGACUGCGGUGUUUCGGAAUUGCAGCUUCGACGGUACCUGGUGCGUUGGUGUGUAUGCAGCAUUGUGGUUUCUGAUGCAGCUUUUCACUUUUGCUUUUUUUUCAUUUUGUUUCAUUUUCUUGUAUUGGAUGCUAUUGGAUACUGAUUGGUAAAUGGAUUUUAUCAAGUGGAUUUAAGAGAUUUGUAAAUGGAUAAUGGAUUAUGUAAAUGGUUUAAUAUUAUGGUUGUCAAUUGGUUAUGAAAUGGAUAGUUGGUUUUGGAUUGUGA